rnacentral:rRNA from 1 species
UAACGCUGGCGGUAUGCUAACACAUGCAAGUCGAACGAAAGUUUAUACUUUAGUGGCGGACGGGUGAGUAAUACUGAGAAUCUACCUUUACGAAGGGAAUAACAAUUGGAAACGAUUGCUAAUGCCCUAUAUGCUUAGCAGUGAAACAGAUUUAUCUGCCUGAAGAUGAGCUCGCGCCUGAUUAGCUAGUUGGUAGAGUAAAAGCCUACCAAGGCAACGAUCAGUAGCUGGUUUGAGAGGACGAUCAGCCACACUGGGACUGAGACACGACCCAGACUUCUACGGAAGGCAGCAGUGGGGAAUUUUCCCGCAAUGAGCGAAAGCUUGACGGAGCAAUACCGCGUGAGGGAAGAAUGCCUGUGGGUUGUAAACCUCUUAAAUCUAGGGAAGAACACAUCAUGACGGUACCUAAAGAAUAAGCAUCGGCUAACUCCGUGCCAGCAGACCGAGGUAAUACCGGGGGAUGCAAGCGUAAUCCGGAAUUACUCGGGCGUAAAGCGUACUGCA